rnacentral:rRNA from 1 species
AACGAACGCUGGCGGCAUGCCUAACACAUGCAAGUCGAACGAGACCUUCGGGUCUAGUGGCGCACGGGUGCGUAACGCGUGGGAACCUGCCCUUGGGUUGGGAAUACCUCCCGGAAGGGGUUGCUAAAACGGAAAAAUUUCUCCGAACAAAAGAUUUAUCGCCUUUGGAUGGGCCCGCGUUGGAUUAGCUAGUUGGUAGGGUAAAAGCCUACCAAGGCGACGAUCCAUAGCUGGUCUGAGAGGAUGAUCAGCCACACUGGGACUGAGACACGGCCCAGACUCCUACGGGAGGCAGCAGUGGGGAAUAUUGGACAAUGGGCGAAAGCCUGAUCCAGCAAUGCCGCGUGAGUGAUGAAGGCCUUAGGGUUGUAAAGCUCUUUUACCCGGGAUGAUAAUGACAGUACCGGGAGAAUAAGCUCCGGCUAACUCCGUG